rnacentral:rRNA from 1 species
GGACUACACGGGUAUCUAAUCCCAUUCGCGACCCACGCUUUCGUGCUUCAGCGUCAGGAGCGGGCCAGUCUCUUGCCUUCGCUUUUGGUGUUCCCCAUGAUAUCAACGCAUUUCACCGCUACACCAUGAGUUCCAGAGACCUCUCCCGUCCUCGAGCCGUGCCGUUUCCCAUCCAGCCUACCGGUUGAGCCGGUAGAUUUAAGACAAGACUAACACAGCCGCCUACGCACCCUUUACGCCCAAUGAUUCCGGAUAACGCUUGAAGCACUCGUAUUACCGCGGCUGCUGGCAC